AUUGAACGCUGGCGGCAUGCUUUACACAUGCAAGUCGAACGGUAACAGGUUAAGCUGACGAGUGGCGAACGGGUGAGUAAUGCAUCGGAACGUGCCCGAUCGUGGGGGAUAACGCAGCGAAAGCUGCGCUAAUACCGCAUACGAUCUGAGGAUGAAAGCGGGGGACCGUAAGGCCUCGCGCGAUCGGAGCCGCCGAUGUCAGAUUAGGUCGUUGGUGGGGUAAAGGCCCACCAAGCCGACGAUCUGUAGCUGGUCUGAGAGGACGACCAGCCACACUGGGACUGAGACACGGCCCAGACUCCUACGGGAGGCAGCAGUGGGGAAUUUUGGACAAUGGGCGAAAGCCUGAUCCAGCAAUGCCGCGUGCAGGAAGAAGGCCUUCGGGUUGUAAACUGCUUUUGUACGGAGCGAAAAGGUCCUUUCUAAUACAAGGGGCUCAUGACGGUACCGUAAGAAUAAGCACCGGCUAACUACGUGCCAGCCGCCGCCGUAAGAC
rnacentral:rRNA from 1 species